UUAGCUCAUAUUUGUAUGUAAUGGGAUCGUUUGCGUACGUUUGCCGCUAGGGGCGCUGUUCCAACUGCAUACAAAAUUGGCUUA
rnacentral:pre_miRNA from 1 species